ensembl:lncRNA
AGCGUUAGCGCGCUGCAGCAUGGACAGAGAGCCGGCCCUUCAGAGCCAAUCAGAGCACGGCGAGCGAGCCAAUGGGACCGCCCCCCGGCCCGCGGCGGACCCCUCCACCCCGACGACCCCCAACCCUCCUCGGCUGACCCCCAACCCGACGCUGCUGGACUCCCUCGCGCCCAUGCUGACGCCCGCCACCUCCUCCCCCCCUCCCCCCCCCUCCCCCGGCUCCCUCCGUCUCGGCGACCCACGUGCCCAGAGUGGCUCCAUCGCCGCACCUGCUCGCCCCGGCUCCCCCGAAGCUCACCCCGACCGCCGUCCCCGCCCUGCGCACGUACUCUCGCCCGCUCUUUCCAUCGCCGUUGGGCGCCUCCAAAACAUCUCCCCCCAAACAACAACCCCCCGCUCUUCUUCUCCCCGCUUCCUCCUCUACCCCUCCGGCGGCGCCAAGCAACGCCUCGGCCCUCCUCUCUUCUUCUUCUUCUUCUUCUUCUCCUGCGACGCACAGCAGCAGCACCGCCGUGUCAUCCAAGACCUCCACUGGGCUGACCAACGGGAACACGAGGCCCGUAUCCACGACGACCGCCACGCCCAUCACGCCCUUCCACACGCCGGCCAGCCCACCCGGCCGACAGGUAUCACAGCCCGCGGGCACACCUGGUCCUGUGCGAGCCAACCAGAGCCCCUCCCCCGUGAGGCAGCGGGUCUCCCAGCAGACCCUGCUCCUGGGGAAAGGUCUCAAAGGGUCUGGGCCAGACCAGGUGCUGCUCAGAGCUCAGAUGCUCCAGAGCCUCACCCUGAGGCCCCCCCCCCACGGGGCCCUCACCAUCCCUCCCUCCCUUCGCCUCAAGCCGCCGUGCUCGGCCCCGCCUCCCCUCUCUCGCCCUCAUGCCCCCCUCUUCCCCCCCCUGAGGCCGCGCCCGCAGUCCUGCCACACGGCGACGGAGAGACCAAACGCGCCCGGGCGCCACCUCUCCGUCCCGCCUCCGACUCUUUACUCUCCGGUCCGAGUCGUCCCUCUGAGACCCCGCCUCCACCCUGCAAACAGCCACAGGGCGGCGGUGCCGCGGGUGACCACGCCCCUCCAGCCAAUCGGCGCCGCCGCCCCCCCCGCCUGUCGGGCCCCCCUCCCCGUCAGCAGGCCGGGCGGCCCGUUGACUCAGGCGAUGCGCGGCCCGCCGUCCGCGUCCGCCGCCGCCCGCUUCCAGCGCUCGCCCUCGGCGGCGAGGCAGCUGCAGAUCAUCGCCCUCUCUUCAGGACGCCAGUCCUUUACUCGCCACGCGCCGCCGCCGCCUCCCACCGCCGAGUCGCCCGACCCGCCUGGCCAACUGAAGAGGACGUGGAGCGGCGAGGCGCCUCCGCUCGACCCGUCGUUGCCAAAGAACAGCUACCGGCUCCCCUCGCCUCCGUCACUCCUGAGUGGGGAGGGGGAGGCCGGAGAGGAGCAGCGAGAGAGAGGACGAGGGGUGAGGCAGGGAGUCCCAAAGGGGGAGACAGAGGGGAAGGAGGAGAGGCAGCGGGAAGAAAGCCUCGUCGCCCGGAAGGAGGCGGAGACGGCCGGAGAGGAGGAGCAAAUGGAGGUGACGGAGGAAGGCCGGAGCGAAGGCGAGGAGAAAAAGAUGGAGCAGGAGGAAGGAGAGGCGGCCAUGGACCAGUCUGAGAUCCAUCUGGAGACGGAGCCUGUCCACGCGCCCGACGCCGCUCACGACUCAGGGGGGGAACCGAAACCCACCACAGGCCUCGUUACGGCCCCAGUCCCAACGGCCCCAGUACCU